rnacentral:lncRNA from 1 species
AUUUUUGGACUCGUUGAAAGUAGCCUUUAUCUGAGAGCUGGAAGCUGGCACAGCCCUAAAGCUAUCUGUUCCAAAUCCUGAUGUAUUUGUUUCAGAUGUCUGUCUGUUCUGGUGGCCACUUUUUGUCCUGACUGAUCUAGGAUUAGCAUUAACUGAAGUAGGUUGUUGCUUUGGAUCAUCAUCAGCAAAUGCUUGCCAGGGCUUUGAAUCUGGGCUCACUU